CGGCCAACCGGGCAGCCCUUAAAUGCAAGUCGAACGGCAGCGCGAGAGAGCUUGCUCUCUUGGCGGCGAGUGGCGGACGGGUGAGUAAUAUAUCGGAACGUGCCCAGUAGCGGGGGAUAACUACUCGAAAGAGUGGCUAAUACCGCAUACGCCCUACGGGGGAAAGGGGGGGAUCGCAAGACCUCUCACUAUUGGAGCGGCCGAUAUCGGAUUAGCUAGUUGGUGGGGUAAAGGCUCACCAAGGCAACGAUCCGUAGCUGGUUUGAGAGGACGACCAGCCACACUGGGACUGAGACACGGCCCAGACUCCUACGGGAGGCAGCAGUGGGGAAUUUUGGACAAUGGGGGAAACCCUGAUCCAGCCAUCCCGCGUGUAUGAUGAAGGCCUUCGGGUUGUAAAGUACUUUUGGCAGAGAAGAAAAGGUAUCCCCUAAUACGGGAUACUGCUGACGGUAUCUGCAGAAUAAGCACCGGCUAACUACGUGCCAGCAGCCGCGGUAAUACGUAGGGUGCAAGCGUUAAUCGGAAUUACUGGGCGUAAAGCGUGUGAAAGGCGGUUCGGAAAUGAAAAGAUGUAGAAAAUCCCAGGGCUUCAACCUUGGAACUGCAUUUUUAACUGCCGAGCUAGAGUUAUGUCAGGAGGGGGGUAGAAUUCCACGUGUAGCAGUGAAAUGCGAAGAUAAUGUGGAAGGAAUACCUGAUGGCGAAGGGCAGCCCCCCGGGAUAAUACUGACGCUCAGACACGAAAGCGUGGGGAGCAAAUCAGGGAUUAGAUACCCUGAUAGUCCCACGCCCUAAACGAUGUCAAAUAGCUGUUGGGGCCGUUAGGCCUUUAGUAGCGCAGCUAACGCGUGAAGUUGACCGCCCGGGGAGUACGGUCGCAAGAUUAAAACUCAAAAGGAAUUUGACGGGGACCCGCACAAGCGGUGGAAUGAUGUGGAUUAAUUCGAUGCAACGCGAAAAACCUUACCUACCCUUGACAUGUCUAGAAAGCCGAAAAGAUUUGGCCGUGCUCGCAAGAGAACCGGAACACAGGUGCUGCAUGGUCUGCUGUCAGCUCGUGUCAUGAGAUAUUGGGUUAAGUCCCGCAACGAGCGCAACCCUUGUCAUUAGUUGGUUCGCAAGAGCACUUUAAUGAGACUGCCGGUGACAAACCGGAGGAAGGUGGGGAUGACGUCAAGUCCUCAUGGCCCUUAUGGGUAGGGCUUCACACGUCAUACAAUGGUCGGGACAGAGGGUCGCCAACCCGCGAGGGGGAGCCAAUUUCAGAAACCCGAUCGUAGUCCGGAUCGCAGUUUGCAACUCGACUGCGUGAAGUUGGAAUCGCUAGUAAUCGCGGAUCAGAAUGUCGCGGUGAAUACGUUCCCGGGUCUUGUACACACCCCCCGUCACACCAUGGGAGUGGGUUUCACCAGAAGUAGGUAGCCUAACCGCAAGGAGGGCGCUUAAGCAAUGUUGAUAUCUGGGGCGC
rnacentral:rRNA from 1 species